rnacentral:rRNA from 1 species
GUAGGGAAUCUUCCACAAUGGGCGCAAGCCUGAUGGAGCAACACCGCGUGAGUGAAGAAGGGUUUCGGCUCGUAAAGCUCUGUUGUUAAAGAAGAACACGUAUGAGAGUAACUGUUCAUACGUUGACGGUAUUUAACCAGAAAGUCACGGCUAACUACGUGCCAGCAGCCGCGGUAAUACGUAGGUGGCAAGUGUUAUCCGGAUUUAUUGGGCGUAAAGAGAGUGCAGGCGGUUUUCUAAGUCGGAUGUGAAAGCCUUCGGCUUAACCGGAGAAGUGCAUCGGAAACUGGAUAACUUGAGUGCAGAAGAGGGUAGUGGAACUCCAUGUGUAGCGGUGGAAUGCGUAGAUAUAUGGAAGAACACCAGUGGCGAAGGCGGCUACCUGGUCUGCAACUGACGCUGAGACUCGAAAGCAUGGGUAGCGAACAGGAUUAGAAACCCGUGUAGUCC